CAGAAAGUCAUCAGCUUCAAAGAAAGAAGCUUCUGAGGACGAAGCAGAGGAGACAAAAGAUGUGGAAAUGCAAGAAGCUGGUGAAACUAAGGAUGAUAAGGAUGUAGAGCUGGAAAAGAAAGUUGUUAACGAAAAUGAAGAUAAGAAGGGGGCAGAGGAUGCUGAUGUUAAAGAGUCCAUUCAACCUGGAGAAACUACGGAUGAGGGGAAAUCCAACACUGCUGAUGGUGAUUUGCAAGCAUCAAAAGAGAAUAUUGAUGACAAAGGAGCUGAGGGGUCUGGAGUUGUUCAGAAUAAGGAUGAAGAAAAGACUGGACAGCCAGCAGAGGAGACAAAGCAAGAAGAAAAGAUUGAACAGCCAGCGGAGGAGACAAAGCGAGAAGAAAAGAUUGAACAGCCAGCGGAGGAGACAAAGCAGGAAGAAAGGAUUGAACAGCCAGUGGAGGAGACGAAACAAGAAGAAAAGAUCGGACAGCCAGUGGAGGAGACGAAGCAAGAUGGUGGAUCUGGGGACGCAGAGAAAUCUGAAGCUGCCCCUACUUCUGAGAAAAUGGCUCAAGUGGAAGGCGAAAAUAAUGAGGAAGAUAACAGGAUCACCCGUGAGUCUGGAGGAGAAACCAAGGAGAAAGACGCGAUAAGAAUGCACGAUGAAGCAAACUACAAGGUUCAUGAUAUUAACAAGGCUGAAUCAGAGGUGACUGUGAAUGGAAGCUCAUGAAUGAAUACAAUAAACUCUUGGCUUCUGUCACUCUGACGCCUGUAGAUCUAUCUGAGGAUAACUGUAGUUUUUGUUUUUUUUUUUUUAAAGAAACUGUAGUUUUUGUUGUUAAUGUCAUUUAUCUGAUUGUUCAUUGAAAUGACCAUAUACAAUCAUAGAGUAGCCGUGUAAUGUACCAUCAUGUAUGUUAUGAAGAGACAUAUAGCUUCUAGUUCCCAUGUAACAUUGUGUUGUAAGAUUCCUGUAAUGUGAUAUGAACCUAUAAUCAUGUGAGACCUUGAUCCUAAAUAUGUGUUUACUCCAAUUCAAGUAUGUGUUUGGUAAAUAAAAAAUUCAAAGUGACGACUUGCAUGUCUUUUGCAUUGUUUUCUUUUUCUUUCUCUUACUGAAGCCAUGUCCUUGUGUUAUCCAACGUCAUGCCCCAAGUCUCAUAUUUAUUUGUAACCUAUUUGCAUAUGUUUUAUUUCAUUUCAUAUAUAAUUCUUAACCAUUAGCCUGAUAAUAAUAUUCUUAACCAUUAGCCUUUAAUAUGGCCAUGGCCUUUGCUGUGACACUUUUUAAUGGCUAACUAAAGUUUGGGUGGUGACAUGGUUGCAGUUAAUUAUCCUUCAGUAGUUUGAGUGAACAACAAUAUUGCAUGUAGUCAAAUUUUCAAUGACAUUACAAUUAAAAUUUACAAUUUUUUGCCAGACAAUUUACAUCCAAAGCUCAAACUUCAUGAUCCGUGAAAAAUGAGCUUGCUGGUCUUUCCUAGAUAAAGCUGUGAUGGGACUGCCUCAAGACACCAAAAUUUGAUAGAAAGGAAAAUAAUGGAAUUCUCUAUAUGUAAGAUGAAAUAAAAUUUCCUGUAGCUUCACUCAAUGUUCAAAUCCCUUUAAGUUUACCAACCAGCCCUGUCAAAGAGGUCCACUUCUCAAUUGCAGAGGCUGAAGACACAAAGGCAAUUAAGAGUUAGUGUGUGUGCUUGAAGAAAUCUUAGAGCCUACAUUUUGAGGAAGAUAUCACAUAUGACAUAUCUAUAUUCCUAGCCUAGAAUUUUGUUGGAAAAUGCUAGUAUGCACAAAUAUGUGCGCGCGUGCACACACUUAAGAAAGUUUAUAUGAGGAUAAUAUAUUUGCAAGGUUACAUAUAUACAAUUUUUUAUUGUGUUUGGAUUUCAUUUUAAAUUGGUUUAAAAAUACAUUUGAGUCAAUUUAACAUCUUCUGUUGAUCAUUUUGACAAAUGUGAUUUUAAAUAAACUUUGUAGUUUUUGCUCCAAAAUAAACUUUGUAGUUGAUAUGUAUAAUUGAUUUGGUUGAAAUUGAGUUUCAAAUGAAAUUAUUAUUUUUGCAUAUUUUAUAUAAACAAGAGAAAGCCUAAAUUUGAAUGUGUCCACCUCAGACUUCUCUUCAGGACUUGAACUCAGCUGUUAAGAAGCAGACCAAAUAGAGAUUAAAGAGUGUGUUUCAAGUUUCAACGACGAUAGUAUCUCGGGCAUGAGUUUUGGAUUUGAAUUUUCCACUUGAAAAUUAUACUAAAGGCACCAGUUUCCUCAAUUUUGAAAUUCAGACUCUAAUGCUACUAUAAGAGCAUUUAUGUAUCAAGGUCAAAAUUUAGUGCCAAUUAUUGCUAUUGACUAAGAGAUUACAUACUGAUGUUAUUAUCCAUAUUAUUGCUAAGAAAUUAAUAACAGGCAACUUUCUUUUUUGUCUAACUUUUGAUAUGAAAUUGUUAUUAAACAUUUCAUAACAAAGGGGUUCACAGUGAAUGCAUUUAAGUGCAUGUUUGAAUUGACACGAGUUUCAUAGAGAUAUAUCUUAUUCAUAGCUAUAUUAAAAACUGGUGUUUUGAGUUUUUCAUGAAGGAACUUGAGCAAACAAUAACAUGAACUACGAAAUAGAACUUCAUCAUAUGAUACUAAAAUUUAUUGCAGUAAUAGUAUUGCAUUAAAAUUAAACAAACCAAUAUUUGCACUUUAUGAGAGCUUUUUAUUUUCAUUAGAAACCCUCAUGAAUUGUGCUAAAUUAGACCCUCAAAUUUAUAUGUAUUAUGGUGAACAAAAUCAUUCAAUUUAAGGAAUUAACAUGAAAAAUAAAUUUCAUAUCAAAUAAUGCACACUACCUGUUUCUUUGGUGGAGGAACUAAUGACACCUUGUUUCUCAAGUCUCUUUUUUCUAUCUUUCUUUACUUUUUCCAAAAGCUAAAAUCUGGUUCUUUUUAUACCCCUAAGAAGAUUAUUUUUACCCACGGUAAAAAGUUUUUGGGUAAAAAGAAGCAAAUUUAAUUUUACUAAAACCAAAACGAGACAUAUUUGCAGGAACUAAAACUAUAUUUUAGCCAAAAAUUAAUGAUGUAAGUUGUCUAUCAUAUGAUUGGAUCAAUAUCAUAUUUGCGGUGCGAAGAUGUAUUAGUGCUGGGAACCUGCGCGAAAUGUGUUAAUUGUGACAGCACGACCAUGUGCUAAACAUCAAGGUACGUACUAAACUUACUAUUUUUAAUGGCAAAGCAUUAUUAAUAUACAUCAAUGUUUAAUGGAUGGUCAAACUCAUUACAAAUAAUGUUAAAGACCAGGAGAGAGGCAAGCAACAACUAGAAAUAACACUACCAAUAACAAUAGAGGAAAACUAACCGUGAGAGUUAACUUAAAAUUAGGAUAUGUAGAAAUCGUGCCACGAUGGAGAAACAACGUGCUAUGAUGGUUGAAGAUUUUCGUGAAGCAAGUCAUUGGAAAAAUAGUACCAUGAUGGAAUUGCAACGUGGCACGAUGGUGCGAUGGCAGCGAAUAACAUAAACGUAUUUUUGGGUGCAGAUUUGUUUCAAAUUUUAAGCAAUACUUUUACUAUAAAUAUAGACCUUGUAUCAGACUAAACUUUGAGAUAGAGGGGGCUGAAACAAGGGUUUAGAAAGGCAACAACAAAACUAGGGUUUGUAUAAGUUUGUCUCUUUGGAACUAACACUAGGGUUUGAGGGUUGAUUCAUCUUGGGAAACACUAUUAGGAUUGAGUCUCUUGGUUACGGGAAGAAGCUGGGACUUUGGGUAGAAUUAGGCGGGAGACUUAUUCUUGUAACCCAUUGAUAUCUCUUUUGUAAAGUUACUCAUCAUAUAGUGAAACGGAGGGCUGCUCUCUCCCCAGACUAGGUCAAUUUGGACCGAACCGGGUCAACAAAUUCUUUUGUGUUCUUCUCUUGAUUUCUCUCGCUGUUUUCUACUUUUGGCUUGUGUUUAUAAUUAUUCUAUACACUUCAUUUUGAUUGCUUGAUUAUCCCUUACUCCACACAUCAAGUUUGUUAUUGAUGUGUUUUCACAACGAAUUCACAACACUAACAACUAUUAUAAAUACAGAAAUGAUAGCUAUGUUAUAGGUACGAAAUAUCCAUGAUUAUUUAAUAGUAACUAAUAUUAGCUAGAGAGCAUGUUGAGAACAUAAGAUAGGUACUAAACUAAAUUAGCAUUCUAGUAGCCUUUUUAAUUAGGACAAUAUUUGUCUUUACUCUUUACAAAGUGGAUAACAGACUAAUAUCACAUGAAUCAACUAAUCCUAGAUUUAACUAAGCACAUGCUCCUAAAAUAUUCCGUAGAGCCUCAAAUGAUACGAAAUUUCAAGCUCCAACGAUUCCUUUUCCUUGGACCUCAGACAUGAGUCUGCCCUACCUUAUUUUCAAAGGUCUAAAAUUAAUUUUUUUUUGUUAAGAGGUGAAUAUGAAAUAUAUUAAUCAAAAUUAAUAAGUUCUUCCCGCAUAAGUGAAAAUAAUAAUUAAAAUCGAAAGUAACAUAUCUCAAUGUCAACCAUUAAAAAGACUUCAACUUAAUCUUUUCACUUAAAGAUUGUAAGUGAUCUCUUUCGUGUUGGAAUGUUGCAACUUAAUAUUACUUUUUUUUUCAGGGGUGUUUGUUUCACUGCUACAAAUUAAAGUUCUGGGAACGUAAGAUGGAAAUUAUUUAUUAAAGUCCUGGGACAAAAAAAUGAAUAGUCAUGUUUCCAUCUUUAACACUCAAUGAUGAAAUAAGAGACGUUUUAUUUUAUUUUUAUUUUUUAGCUUUUUUUGUAAAUAAUAUUUUUUGAUAGUAAUGAAUAAAUGAUAAUCAUUAGACAUAUCGCUCAUGAAUUAGCACAAACAACCUGUUAGAAACUAGCUCCCAAGUAACCAUCGGUAAAAAUUAAUAAUAAUAAUAAAAGUUGGCCGGAUUAUGUAUUGGUCUCUCAACUCAAGUAUAAGUAUAUUUGACUGAAGUUGAAUCAUUUGGUGCGAAAUCGAUUAACAAAUGAGACAACUAACAGUAACUAUCAAGUAUAGGUAGAUGAGCUUGAAGAUUCAUUUAAGCCUUAUUUGACUUUUGAUAAUGUUGAAUGAGAGCUUAAAAAACUAUAACAUCCAGCUCACUAAGUGAAAAUAUUAUAUAAUCACUUUCUAAAUAUUGCACAAAAAAGGUUAACAACUCAACUGUUUGGACAAGAUAUGAGCCAACAUCGUUCAGAACUUGCACAAAGACUAAUUAUCUUCAAAAUAGUGUUACAUUAAACGUGGUUAAGUGAUAUGGGGAUUUAAAACUUUGGCCAAUAAAACAAGUUUGGGCUAUAACUCAUUGAACUGGGCAGUAUCCUAUAGUAUUUACGUUCUUAGUCAUUGUAUAUGAUGGAAGAUAUAAGGUUGUCUUGAUAGUUGAGGUGUAGGGAGUUAAAUAGUGAAAUGAUAAGAGACUGCGAGUUCAAUUUUAAAGAGAAGUCAUGAGAUAUCACAUAUUAUAGAGGUUGAUAGUUCGAUCUCCACUUCAAACAUAUAACUAAUAAUUAUUAACAAUACUAACAUUGUUAGUUUCAAAGAAAAAAUCAUUAUAUAUGACGUAAUAUAUAGUUAGUUUACAUUUUUUUUAAGGAUAAGUUUAAUAUCAACUAUGUGCAACUACGAAGACUAACCCCUCAAAUCUUGAGAGAUCUAAUGUACGUCAAAUCAUCUCUAAAAUUUUAACAUUGUUUCAUGUUCAAAUUCAAAAUAGAACUCAAAGACUUUGGUUAAGCUUAUAAAUACUUGUAAAGAUUAUUGUCAAGAAACCCAAACAAACAAGUCAUUAACUAUCUUUAUUGAUUUCCUUUAUCAUUUUUAUUUUUUUAUUUUCUAUUUUUCAUGUCAUCAGAGACACAGUAGUUCAAUCUCAUACACUAUUCUAUUCUAUCUACUCUUGAGAAUAGUUUAUGAAUCCACAAAUGAGAAACUUAAUUUCUUUCUCAAUGCAGCCAUCUGAUAAAAAUAAAAUCAUUAUUAAAAAUGCAAAUUAGCCAACAUAUCUUAUGAGCUGAGCUUGAUUAAUAAAAAAGUCUUUUGAGUUUAGCAAAUGACAAACAAACAAACAACUAAUCACAUAUAGGAACAAUUAGUUGUCUAAACACCAAAUUUGCUUGACUAACAACAACAAUACAUAUACUAAUUAUUUGUGGUAAGUAAGUUGCAAAUAAAUGGUUUUGGACUUGGCCAAAAAAGUUGGAGUGUAGUCAAAGUGCUUAUCGUGGUAUAAACUGCAAACAAUUAUUCUCGAAGGGAUCAUGUAUAAACAAUUAAACAUAAUCUAGUACAAACAACACAGUCAAUAAGGUAGAUUAAAAAACAACAAAUUUGUGGAUAAUGAUAAAUAAUAUUUAUAAUUAAUAUAUUUUUAAUAUUAAGUGUCUUAAAUAACAUAGAUUUGAUUUGGAGAGUUUAUUCAAACUACUCCCUCCGUCCCAUUAUAUAAGUGAGCCUUUUGCUCAUUUCACACAUAUUAAGAAAAAAUGUAUAAGUAAAAGAUAGAUAAAAAUAUUUUUCAAUGCCCUUGUCAGGUAUUUGUACAUUUUUCUUUAUCAUAAAUGUAAAGUAAAAUAUAUUGAAUUGAGAGUGAUUAAAGUAGUAUUAAUUAUAGUUAUAAUUUGAAAAAUAUAAUUAAUAAUAUAUUGAAAAAAUGAAAUGAGUUAAUUUUUUUGAAAAGAUAUUUUUUUUUGUAAAUGACCCAUUUAUUAUGGAACGGAAAGAGUCUAUAACAAUUUAUCUAAAGGUAUCACCAUAUUUAUUUAGAUCUAUAAAAAAAACUAAAACAAAGAUAUCUUAUUCAAGGAGCAAAUUAUAACUAGAUCUAGCUAAUCAUUUCUAAAACAAGACCUAACUUACAUUAUUAUUAUUUGGGUUUUGCUAACUCUAAGAAUAAUGAUUAAGAAAUUUAUUAGUUUUUUUUUUUUUUUAAGAAAUUAAAAUGGAAUAUAAGGAAUCCAUAAGUUCCACGCUUAUAAGGAAUAUAUUAGUAAAAAUUCUUUUUUGUUUUACUUUUAUUUUAGCAAUGAGUACACAAAUUUUAUUUUAAAGUUACUUUUUUUAGUGCUAUAACCGAUGCUCCAUAAGCACUCAUUAGCAUUCUCUUUACUCCCUCCGUCCUUUAAGAGAUGACUUAUUUAACAAUAUGCAUUAUUGACUUAAUAUACUUUGAUCAUAUUUUUCUAGCAAUUCACAAAGAUAAAUAAUAUUAUGUAAGAUAAUGUUGGAUUCAUUUCGAUUAAAAUUUUUAAAAUAUUAAAUUUUCAUAAUUUUUUUAAUAGAGAAUUAAAAAUAUCAAAGAAAAAACAUAUAUAUAUAUAUAUGUAUAUGUGUCGAAGUUAAUUAGAACAUCUAAUAUAAGACAAAAAAUAUAUUUUUUUUUAGAUAAACUUUUAUUCAACGUUCCCUUCCCCGUGAAAGUGGAGGAAAUAAAAAAUAAAAAUCCACAGCUUUUUCAAAUGGAUAAUUUGAAUAUCUUAUUUGUCCAAAAAGACGACAAAAAAAGCUCCAAUUUCAAAUUUUUCAAUUUCAAAUUCUUUGUUUCUUUACCUUUAUAAAACGUGUAAGAAAAAAAAGAUAGCAAAAAAGAGACACGUGGCAGUAGCAGAGCAUGACUGUGACCCAACACAGAAAUCAAGUUUAGAUUUUAGAACCUUUCAUUUUAUGAGAGAGAAGAAAGAAGCAUAUUUUUGUGAGAUUCCACACGUGUCACUUCAAUUUCAAUUUUAAUUUCAAAAUAAAUGAAAAAAACAUUAAUUAAUUAAUAAUACAUUAAAUAUUUUUCUUCUCUAUUCUUCUUUCUCCACCUUACACUUAAAAACACACACACAACAACAAUUUCACUUUCACUUCAACAAACGCAAAAAUCAAAAAUCAAACAAAAAAAAAACCUAAGUAAUUUUCUCUCUUUAUCCUUUUUCUUCAAUUAUUUAUCAAUUUUUGCUCUAUUAUACAAAAUUCUAAAGUUUAUUAUUAUUAAUUACUUUUUCAUUUUCUUUCUUCAACAGUAUUGUGAUAUUUUUUUUUUGGGAAUUUUUUUUGUAGUUGAAAAUGGCGAGUUCAGUUGAGAAGGAAGGUUCUGGUGCUGUCGGUGCAGCUGCAGGUGCACCAGAAGAGCCUGUUUCGUUUGAGCUACCUGCUCCAUCUGGUUGGACCAAAAAGGUUAUUCUAAUUUCUGUUUGAAUUUUCAAUUUUAGGUUAAUUUGAAUUUCGUGUUGUUGUAAUUUCUUGUUAAUUCUUUGAUUUUCGUGUUGGUAUUGUUUAAUUUUGUGAUUUGUGUCUGUAUGAUGCUUUGAUUUUGGUUUCCAUAAUUAGGGAUUUGGUUUUGAAUUUUCAAGCAUUUUGUUGUUUUCUUGAAUUUUUAACUGUUGAAUGUGUGUGUUUCAAGAUUCAUGUCAAAGAUUUAGCUAUUUUGUUCUCUGAAUUUGGGGAAUUGUGUACUUUCUGGGUUUUGAAUUACCUGCUAGGGUUUACAAGAUUCUUACUGUGUCCCUAUUUUUGUAUUUCUAAUUUUUUUUGUGAGGUUUAUGAUUGCAAUUCUAGCACUGUGUAGAGGAUUUGCAUAAUUCAAAUUGUUGUAUAAAUUGUGUAAUAACUAUCAUAAGAUUUUCAGUCAUAUUUGUAACCAUUUAUUAUAAUAUUUUCUGAUAUUGUGCACUGGAUAAACCCACUAUUUAACAGCCGUUUUUUUUAAUACUUGAAGUAAAUUGCAAUGAUUUGCCCUGAGUUUUACAAACCCAUGCAAUCGCCAAUGAUUUUUUUUUUCUUUAUUCAUUUUCCAUGAAAAACAUAACCCCUAACCAACCUGAUGUGAUCUUCAGUUCCCAAUUUCCAUACAAACUAUUUUUUCUAGGUACAUACGUCCUCUGGGUUAUUGUAUAAUACAUAACUAGAGGGGCAUCUAUAUUGGCUUUUAAUGAGAAGUAUUGUUUACUUGUUUUGUUGAGACAAACAGUUGAUUGUCAUACUGAAUGAUGUUGUCCGUGUAUUCUCCAUUACUGCAGUUUUAGAUUGGGAAUGGUUUUGUAUACAGUCCCUAUGUGUCCGUUUUUGUGUUUCUUGGUCUUUAUGAGCCAUGGAUACUUGUCUUCAGUGCUCACACCUCUCCCAGGUAUAGCCUGAUUGGAAGGAUUAAAGAGGGAUAGAAAAGCCUUCAGACUGAACAAGGUUAAUUUGGUGCUAUGCUAGUUGCUACUCUCUUACUGAAGUUUAACAGUAAAAGUGCUAGCUUAUAACUGCCUAUGAUGUUUGACUAGGCACUAAAAUGCUUAAAAUCGUAACAACAAAAUAAUUUUUUGAUUAAGAGAAGAGGAAGAAACAUUUUUAAUUGAGUAUUCUCAAGGGUUUAAUACACUGUUCUAAUCAUAAGACAUAAUUCUUGUUUUAUCUUUUAACAUCAUGAGCACCAAAGUCUUAUAAAAGUUAAAACUUGGAACAAGAUCUUGUAUGUGUAACAGUUGUUGAUUUGUUGCUUGCUAUUGCAUGAGUAUUAAUAAAUUAUAUUUCCUUUGCAGUUCUUUCCAAAAAAGUCAGGAACACCCAAGAAAAAUGAGAUUGUGUUCACUUCACCAACAGGAGAGGAGAUCCGUACCAAAAGGCAUCUGGAGAAGUAUUUGAAAACUAACGGUGGCCCAAACAUAUCAGAAUUUGAUUGGGGCACUGGGGAGACUCCAAGAAGAUCAUCGAGAAUUGUUGAGAAGGUCAAGGCAGCUCCUCCAGCAGAGCCAAAAAGUGACCCACCUAAGAAACGUAGCAGAAAGUCAUCAGCUUCAAAGAAAGCAGCUUCUGAGGACGAAGCAGAGGAGACAAAUGAUGUGGAAAUGCAAGAAGCUGGUGAAACUAAGGAUGACAAGGAUGUAGAGCUGGAAAAGGAAGUUGUUAACGAAAAUGAAGAUAAGAAGGGAGCAGAGGAUGCUGAUGUUAAAGAGUCCAUUCAACCUGGAGAAACUACGGAUGAGGGGAAAUCCAACACUGCUGAUGGANUAUAUAUAUAUUCGUCGGAUAUUUUAUCAAAAUAUAUUUCGUCGGAGAUCCUAAAUUAUCCAAUAAAAAAACAAAAAUGAAAAAUUGGAUGGUUCAUGCCUCAUGGUGUGUGAAUCUGGUUUUAAAAAUGGUAUAUAUAUUAUUGGAUGCAAACAUUAACAUCAAAUCUUCACUGGC
rnacentral:lncRNA from 1 species